UAUUCAAAGACCAAAAUCACCUUUGCAGCUUCAAUGCAAUGCUCUAAAAUUAAGCUAUUAGAAU
rnacentral:tRNA from 1 species